rnacentral:lncRNA from 10 species
GGCACUACAAGUGACAUGCCACUGGGCAGUUUAGCAAAAGCUGGAGGUGCCUUGACAUUUGCAGUACACUGAAACAGUGGCUGGCUUGAAAAAUCCCAAAACGAUUUUCUGCAGGAGAGCCCUUUUGACUAAUAUGAGGUAAGAUGUGCCUGCUUCCCCUUCUGCCAUGAUUGUAAGUUUCCUGAAGCUUCCCCAGACAUGUGGAACUGUGAGUCAAUUAAGUCUCUUUUCUUUAUAAAUUUCUCAGUCUCAGAUAUUUCUUUACAGCAGUGUGAAAACAGGCUAACACAAGCAGUUAUUUUGCUACCAUCUACUGAAUCUUAUAACGUAUUAUAUGAAAACACAGGGAAUUGAAGUGAUGCAGGAAAUACUGGAAAUCUGCCUGCCUGCUGCUACUUCUCUCUGUAGCAUUGGAAAAACAAGUUAACUUCUUUGCUUCCAUUUCAUCCUCCACUUACGUGACAGGAAGAAGAUUACCUGCUAUUUCUAAAGAACUUUGAAGCUAAAAGCUAGUGUGUAACCAGAAAAAGUGCUUUAAUUAGAUUUCAAAUGAUUCAAGCAUAGUCCAGUGUAAAACAACU